GGGUUGUGAGGUUAAGCGACUAAGCGUACACGGUGGAUGCCCUGGCAGUCAGAGGCGAUGAAGGACGUGCUAAUCUGCGAUAAGCGUCGGUAAGGUGAUAUGAACCGUUAUAACCGGCGAUUUCCGAAUGGGGAAACCCAGUGUGAUUCGUCACACUAUCAUUAACUGAAUCCAUAGGUUAAUGAGGCGAACCGGAGGAACUGAAACAUCUAAGUACCCCGAGGAAAAGAAAUCAACCGAGAUUCCCCCAGUAGCGGCGAGCGAACGGGGAGCAGCCCAGAGCCUGAAUCAGUGUGUGUGUUAGUGGAAGCGUCUGGAAAGGCGCGCGAUACAGGGUGACAGCCCCGUACACAAAAAUGCACAUAUUGUGAGCUCGAUGAGUAGGGCGGGACACGUGGUAUCCUGUCUGAAUAUGGGGGG
rnacentral:rRNA from 1 species